ACAGUCUGGCUGCAACAUCUGUCACCCCACUGACUGCCAGGAUUGAUUUGGCUGAUCUGGCUGGGUGUCUGCUUCCUCCCUU
rnacentral:snRNA from 1 species